rnacentral:lncRNA from 1 species
AGCUGUUGUUUACUAAGGGAGUGUGUGACCAGUAUUUUUGGCUGUAACCUUGCAUAGCAAUCUCACUUUGCUGUGACCUGACAUUACUAAAUUUGCAAGUGGGACUGCUAAAAUUGAAUUUUAGGAAACUGGGCAUCAUCGAUAUUCUGAAAUUAGCCCCUCUUCAGCACGGUACUCAGUUUCACUCAACUUUAAGUGUGCUAAGUGUCAGUAAAAUCAGAGAGUCUUAUGUGUGUGCUUGCACAGCUGUUGAAUUACAAAAUUUUGAACACAUUGGUAAAAAUUGUUGUGUGCAUUGCUGUAUUUUGUAGACUGUGUAUUUUAAUCAGAAGCCUGAAAGUACCGAAUUGCAUUUGAUAAUCAAAUGCUGCUAGAUUAUUUUAGGUGGCGAAAAGUUUUUAUGUAUUCUUGGAGGAUCUCUUUAAGCAGUUUGAACAUUACAUGCCUCUUUCUGAAUAUGCAUGCUAAGGCAGUACUUUCUGAGAAUGCAUUUAGCUUAUAGGUUUUCAUGAUCCCUUUCAGAUUUUUUGUGUGCUCGAAUUCAUUGCAAAAUAUCAGCAGUUUGGACCAGUUUUAUACAUUAAAUAUAAAACUACCUUGGAUAUCUGUAAUGUACACUCAUUUGGCAGAGGUGUGUGGGAACUUCUUAUACUUUGGAGGGUUUUUUUUAACUAUUUGCAGACUUAAUUCACAGUUUGUUCCAUUAUUUAGGUUUGGUGAGGGAAAACUGGAAUUGCAAAAAUAACAGACAGCUUCUGUUGACCCUAAGUAGGAGGAAUGUCUCACUGUGCAAUCUAUUCCUAAGCAAUUUAGGAAAAAGAUUUAAGAAAACUGGGAGAGUGAAGGAGAAGGCUGUCAUCCAGUGAAAGAGCACCUAUCCAGCUGACACCUCAGGCUGACUUUGUCUCACACAUCAAACCACCACCUGCCUUGGUUAUAAGGAAGGGAUGAAGGAAGGUGAAAGAUACUCGGACAGAAGAAGCCAGCACAGAACUAAGAGCAGUAUGAAGGAAAGAUAUCUUCAGUCAAAGAGAACCCUCCAGGAGGAGCAACUCAUCAAAAGAGCAGAGAGGGAGCCUCUCCUGACACGCUACCUACAUCUACUGGAAGCACAAAAGAGCAGUCCCUCUAAAAGCCACAAGAGCAACGCUCUCAUUCCGCGAUGCACUAACUGCUUGAGGAAAGGUAACUGGAAAAUUCUGUGCAUGGACUCCCAAAGUG